rnacentral:rRNA from 1 species
GCCGCUAAACCCGCGUCCACCGACGCCCUNCGAGUGAC